rnacentral:rRNA from 1 species
AAAUUGAAGAGUUUGAUCAUGGCUCAGAUUGAACGCUGGCGGCAGGCCUAACACAUGCAAGUCGAACGGUAACAGGAAGCAGCUUGCUGCUUCGCUGACGAGUGGCGGACGGGUGAGUAAUGUCUGGGAAACUGCCUGAUGGAGGGGGAUAACUACUGGAAACGGUAGCUAAUACCGCAUAACGUCGCAAGACCAAAGAGGGGGACUUUCGGGCCUCUUGCCAUCGGAUGUGCCCAGAUGGGAUUAGCUAGUAGGUGGGGUAACGGCUCACCUAGGCGACGAUC